rnacentral:lncRNA from 1 species
GUGUGAUUUCACAGUAUAAAAUGUCACUGAGAAAAUGAAAACUCCCCCAAAAUCACUACUUUCAAGUGGGCCAUGUCCAAGCCAACCAAAUAAAAAAUAAAGUACUGACAGGGGCUUGUUCAUACUCAUCCACUUUUACUGUGAGAUAUUGAGAAAAAUGAAAUAAUAUAUUUGAACAGUCAACCCUAAUACUUAUAUUCUGCAAACACUCGAUAGAUCGUCAGUGAAGAAUUUAAAAAGCUAUUUUUGGAGAGGGGAGAAAGGAGGACUGCAUUUUCCAUUAAAAAUGGCUUAAAAAGUAGAACAGACAAGCUUCUGUUGGGUUUUUUUUUUUGUCCCUUCAUACUUCAAGUCAAAUCCAUUAUCACUGGGCAGAGCUUGUGAAAGGGAUAUGGUCUUUAAAAUCAUAUGAACUCAAGCCAUCAUAAAAUGUCUGUUGAAUUGAUUGGAAUAUGAAGCAAAAAAAUAAUGGAAGUAACAUGACCUCAUUUCAAUAAUAAUUUUAGAGAGUGGUUUUUUUUGUUGUUGUUUUAAAAAUCUUAUGUCUGGGAAAGAGUAUAAAGAUAUUUUGUACAAAGCUACUAAUCUUAGUUUUUCAAUUUUUUACUUGUUUGUUUGGAGAGUCAUUUUUCUGCUGCAUCGUUGGCUUUUUUCUUUGUAACUAACUGGUUGAUUGUACUCCACAAAUAGAGGGAAAAAAAAAUCCAAGUACCAGCUGCAAAUUAAAUCAACUAUCAGCUAUUUUCAAAACAUCAGUAAUGUAACUGCUGAUUUUGAAGAAUCUGGAAAUAUUUCCAACUAUCUGAAUUGGUUCUUAGUGCACCGAGACACAGAAGUUUACAAGUAAGGCCGUGUAGAUACUUGGGCUCGUGAUUCAGUUUAAGUAAUGACAAUAAGGUGAAGCCAAAAUGCUCCAAGAAUACAAAUGAGAUAAACUUUGUGAGGAGAAAUCAGACUUUUUCAUCAGACCAACUAAUACACUUGGAAAAGCAGGGAGGGGCCUGAAGAAAGGGUUAUAGCUUUAAGCACAUAUACUAUCCUACUAAACUCAAACAAAGCUCCCACUAACCAUAAGUUAACCAGGACAACCACUCAAGUGUUUGCAGAUUUAGGGUUUCAUUUUAAAUUGCCAGGCUUUAAAACUGUUGAUCACAUUUUAUUUUCUUUUCUUUUUUAACUUGAAUACAUUUUAGUAUGCAUGUUCAGCUCUGACAAUGAGUUUUCUGAUUGGUUUGAAGGUUAAGUGAAACAAGCAUUACCAAAGUUUUUGUGUUGUUUGCUCACUCUGCUUUUUAAAGUGAUACUGUUUUUCACAGGAUUUGCACUCUAAAAUCUCUUUCAGACAAGAACUAUGCUGACAAAAUA